rnacentral:rRNA from 1 species
GACGAACGCUGGCGGCGUGCUUAACACAUGCAAGUCGAACGGAAAGGCCCUGCUUUUGUGGGUUGCUCGAGUGGCGAACGGGUGAGUAACACGUGAGUAACCUGCCCUUGACUUUGGGAUAACUCCAGGAAACUGGGGCUAAUACCGGAUAGGAUCUCUUGCUGCAUGGUGGGGGUUGGAAAGUUUCGGCGGUGGGGGAUGGACUCGCGGCUUAUCCGCUUGUUGGUGGGGUAGUGGCUUACAAAGGCUUUGACGGGUAGCCGGCCUGAGAGGGUGACCGGCCACAUGGGGACUGAGAUACGGCCCAGACUCCUACGGGAGGCAGCAGUGGGGAAUAUUGCGCAAUAGGCGGAAGCCUGAUGCAGCAACGCCGCGUGCGGGAUGACGGCCUUCGGGUUGUAAACCGCUUUCGCCUGUGACGAAGCCUGAGUGACGGUAAUGGGUAAAGAAGCACCGGCUAACUACGUG